rnacentral:tRNA from 1 species
GGUUCUAUGUUGUAAUGGUUAGCACUCUGGACUCUGCAUCCAGCGAUCCGAGUUCAAAUCUCGGUAGGACCU